AUGUCCAGUGAGAAUGAUAUGAAUGAAGGCAUCAGUGCUUUUGACGGUCAGAGCUUGAACGGGAGGGCACUUAGAGUGCAUGUUACUGAGGAAAGGCCCAGACACAACUCUUUCGGAGUCCAAGAAAUUUUCACUUUUAAAGUGAGUGUUGGCUGAUUUAUUUUUUUCUUCUUAAUGGUUGAGGUUACAAUUUCAUUUUUUUUUUUUCAGAUGUUCCUUUUUGGCAAAUGGUUUCAUAUUAGAUUUGUAUAUUUUCAUGUUAUUAAUUUAUGUCCACAUGAAAAUUAUUAAGCUAUGAUUCCAAUUUUAAAGGAAA